rnacentral:rRNA from 1 species
UGCGCCAAGGAAAACCGAACGAAGCGUCCGCCCCUGGCAUCCCGUUCGCGGAGCGUGCCGCGGGAUCGGGCGUCUAUCAAAUGUCAAAACGACUCUCGGCAACGGAUAUCUCGGCUCUCGCAUCGAUGAAGAACGUAGCGAAAUGCGAUACUUGGUGUGAAUUGCAGAAUCCCGUGAACCAUCAAGUCUUUGAACGCAAGUUGCGCCCGAAGCCAUUAGGCCGAGGGCACGUCUGCCUGGGCGUCACGC